GUCGAGCGGACAGAAGGGAGCUUGCUCCCGGAUGUUAGCGGCGGACGGGUGAGUAACACGUGGGUAACCUGCCUGUAAGACUGGGAUAACUCCGGGAAACCGGAGCUAAUACCGGAUAGUUCCUUGAACCGCAUGGUUCAAGGAUGAAAGACGGUUUCGGCUGUCACUUACAGAUGGACCCGCGGCGCAUUAGCUAGUUGGUGAGGUAACGGCUCACCAAGGCGACGAUGCGUAGCCGACCUGAGAGGGUGAUCGGCCACACUGGGACUGAGACACGGCCCAGACUCCUACGGGAGGCAGCAGUAGGGAAUCUUCCGCAAUGGACGAAAGUCUGACGGAGCAACGCCGCGUGAGUGAUGAAGGUUUUCGGAUCGUAAAGCUCUGUUGUUAGGGAAGAACAAGUGCAAGAGUAACUGCUUGCACCUUGACGGUACCUAACCAGAAAGCCACGGCUAACUACGUGCCAGCAGCCGCGGUAAUACGUAGGUGGCAAGCGUUGUCCGGAAUUAUUGGGCGUAAAGGGCUCGCAGGCGGUUUCUUAAGUCUGAUGUGAAAGCCCCCGGCUCAACCGGGGAGGGUCAUUGGAAACUGGGAAACUUGAGUGCAGAAGAGGAGAGUGGAAUUCCACGUGUAGCGGUGAAAUGCGUAGAGAUGUGGAGGAACACCAGUGGCGAAGGCGACUCUCUGGUCUGUAACUGACGCUGAGGAGCGAAAGCGUGGGGAGCGAACAGGAUUAGAUACCCUGGUAGUCCACGCCGUAAACGAUGAGUGCUAAGUGUUAGGGGGUUUCCGCCCCUUAGUGCUGCAGCUAACGCAUUAAGCACUCCGCCUGGGGAGUACGGUCGCAAGACUGAAACUCAAAGGAAUUGACGGGGGCCCGCACAAGCGGUGGAGCAUGUGGUUUAAUUCGAAGCAACGCGAAGAACCUUACCAGGUCUUGACAUCCUCUGACAACCCUAGAGAUAGGGCUUUCCCUUCGGGGACAGAGUGACAGGUGGUGCAUGGUUGUCGUCAGCUCGUGUCGUGAGAUGUUGGGUUAAGUCCCGCAACGAGCGCAACCCUUGAUCUUAGUUGCCAGCAUUCAGUUGGGCACUCUAAGGUGACUGCCGGUGACAAACCGGAGGAAGGUGGGGAUGACGU
rnacentral:rRNA from 1 species